UACAGAGGGUGCAAGCGUUGUUCGGAAUUAUUGGGCGUAAAGCGCGUGUAGGCGGCUUUGCAAGUCGGGUGUGAAAGCCCUCGGCUCAACCGAGGGAGUGCGCCCGAAACUGCAGAGCUUGAGUACCGGAGAGGAUGGCGGAAUUCCCCAAGUAGAGGUGAAAUUCGUAGAUAUGGGGAGGAACACCGGUGGCGAAGGCGGCCAUCUGGACGGAUACUGACGCUGAGACGCGAAAGCGUGGGUAGCAAACAGG
rnacentral:rRNA from 1 species